GACGUAGGGCGCGAGCGUUGUCCGGAUUUAUUGGGCGUAAAGAGCUCGUAGGCGGCUUGUCGCGUCGACUGUGAAAUCCCGCGGCUCAACCGCGGGUCUGCAGUCGAUACGGGCAGGCUAGAGUUCGGUAGGGGAGACUGGAAUUCCUGGUGUAGCGGUGAAAUGCGCAGAUAUCAGGAGGAACACCGAUGGCGAAGGCAGGUCUCUGGGCCACUACUGACGCUGAGAAGCGAAAGCAUGGGGAGCGAACAGG
rnacentral:rRNA from 1 species